GAAUAAAUCUCCAUGGUAAUUUAUACCAUAACAUAUCCUCCUGCCCCCUAUCCAUCUUUAGUGCAACCGGAUUACGGAUCAAUUGAGCCAGGAUCACCAAGAUAUCCUGGCUUAAUCCCUUAUCCUAGUUUUGUGCAACAGGCCCCUGGUAGUGGACCAGUGUCAACAUGACUGAGAAGACACAUGACCUGGUAGUAGACCAGUGUCAACAUGACUGAGAAGACACAUGACCUGGUAGUGGACCAGUGUCAACAUGACUGAGAAGACACAUGACCUGGUAGUGGACCAGUGUCAANNNNNNNNNNNNNNNNNNNNNNNNNNNNNNNNNNNNNNNNNNNNNNNNNNNNNNGGAGCUAAAUAAAGGCAGGCCCGUCUUAGAGGGGAUCCCUGGGGGGAAAGAGACGAGCAUAGGUUCCUCCCAAGAUGCCACCCGCUUCAUUCAAGUGUCUGGCAGCACUGUGUUCCUGUUAGAGCCACCAGCACAAGCACCAGACGAUGCUGAUCCAGGUGAAGGCCCCAGUGCAGCAGCAACAGCACAUGAUGGAGACGAUGAUGAGGAGGAGACCAUCUCUCUGGAUUCCAGAAGGCAUGAGGUAUCAUGUUAAGACUGUGAAAGUACUAUUUACUCUACAAUGGUGAGGAGUCCUCAUCAAAAUCAAAAAAUCAAAUUUCUUUUACAGGACCCAGAUGCUAUACAGUGGGAAAACCAGCCUGGCAACAUAAGCUCACAAGCUAUCAGAAAGUUGUAUGGCAACCACCUCCGGUGCCAAAUAGAACUGGCAGACAUAGACAUUCAGUACAAGAAGAAAAAGAUGGAAAAUCUUGCACUGGAGUUCGAAAUAAAAAAGAGGACAAUUAGGAAACUGGACCUUGAAAUAAAAAAACUUGAGAGGGAGGUGAGAUAUGCCUUCAAUGUACACUGUAUGCUAACUGUAACACAAAUGUAUUAAUCAUUAUUUUUCUUUCCUCCCCCAGCUCCAAGAAGAUGACACAGCUCAAAAUAAAAAUUAGGUAUAUUCUCGUAAAGUCAAGUGAGCCAUGACAUAUGAGCUNNNNNNNNNNUGACAUAUGAGCUCUUAUUGUGAGCACACAGGACGGUGGCAUCUUUCUAAGGUUUUUUUUAUUUUCCCAGCAAUCAGUACAACCAAGUCAUCGUUAUAAGGCAUCGCCCUCUUUUGCCCACCCCCCCCAGCACCAGGUGUGGCCACUAGCCUAUAUGAAGGCCCAAAAUUGUGUGUUCCUUUCUGCUCUGACAAUGGCAUGCCCAUUCGUGCGAGAUGUGGUGGAUGAAGAAGCACUUGUGCUGAGGAGAGCCUUCAGGUGAGAAAGGGUCUUCAGGGACCGGUUGGACCCACUGGCCUUCCCUGAUGACCAUCUAUAUGAAAGAUACAGGUUUUCUGCAGAUGGCAUCAGGUAUCUAUGCAGACUACUGGGUCCCAGGAUUAAGCACCGCACUGCACGGAGCCAUGCACUGAGUGUGGAGCAAAUGGUUUGUGUGGCCUUGCGCUUUUUUGCUAGUGGAACCUUCCUGUACUCAGUGGGGGAUGCAGAACAGCUGAACAAGGCCACAAUUUGCCGCACAAUAAGGAGUGUGUGUCUGGCUAUCAAAGCAUUAGCAGAUGUCUUCAUCUCCUUCCCUGGCCACAGAAGACUCUGUGACAUCAAAGAGGAGUUCUAUAGGAUUGCAGGUAAGAGGAUCUACAAAUUACAGGACAACUGUUAACACAUAGUAGGAUACUCAUUACUUUGUGUGACAGGUUUCCCCAAUGUCAUUGGUGCAGUGGACUGCACACACAUAAGGAUAAAAGCCCCCUCAGGUGCCCAUGAGGCCGAUUUUGUGAAUAGGAAAUCCUUUCACAGCAUUAAUGUUCAGGUGAACAUAACUUUUUGAUAUUGUCCAUUGACGAACACUCUGCAUUGCCAGUGAUGUGCAUUGAUUGGUGUAAUAUUCCUCAUCUUAUGAUUUCAGAUGGUCUGCAAUGCUGACUGUGUGAUCA
rnacentral:lncRNA from 13 species